GGCCAGUUCAUGCUUCUAAAUGGUUCGAUAAUUAUCUAUUUCACGUCAAGAUUUAAAUCCUGCAGUCUCCUUCACUCACAACAGAAUCAAGAACUUCUAAUUACCAGUCUACCAGUUGAAGGGGUCAUGCAACAGAGUAAGCUCAUCUGGAUAUGAAACUCCACGUCUUCAUUUUCAGGCUAUCCAGUGGAUAUGCUAAUUUCAGUUUCUUUCAUGAGUAGUAAACAAAUUUAAGCAGGUAGAUAGGCAAGAAUUAUGUCAGUAUCCAACUCCAACACCACAAAUAAUGUAGCUGAGAAGCGACGAAAAAGGCGGCAUCGCAUUUAUAUCUACUCCUUUACUCUAUGCAUUAGUAAUAGUUGUGGUACAAUGUAAUAUUACUAGGACAUGUCAAUAUGCUGGUCCAACUCACUGUCCUCCAUUAAUACACUCUCUUUGAUCUCCUGUAACAUUUUCAACACCUGCCACAUAGUGGGCCUCUGCUCCGGCGAGGUCAAGCUACAAGCUAUAGCUACUUCAAGAAGCAUCUCCAGCCUAUUGUCUUCUCCGCCAUCAUCAUCCCUCGUGGACCUAACCCAAUUCACCAUUUCAUUCGGCGCUAAAAAAGGGAGCUGGGAUGGAGGCUUCCCUGUUAAAAGCUCAAGCAACAGAACUCCAAAUGAAAACACAUCAGAUUUAGAGGUCGGUUGGUGAUUUGAAUUGCAAAUUUCUGGAGCUUUGUACGCCGUGGCCGCCGGGUCAUCCUCCGGUAGUGAAGUGACGAGAACGGCAAGGCAGUAGUCCCCAAUACAUGCCUCGAAAUCGGGGCCGAGAAGUACAUUAGAGGACUUGAGAUUGCCGUGGACGAGCCUCCAUGCUUGGUGGAUGUAGGAGAGCCCUUGGGCUACGUCCUCUGCUAUCUUUAAGCACGAGGUCCAGUGGAGUGGUUUCGCUCUUGUGGAUUUUGAGCCUGCACAUGCCAAUACAAAAAUUCACAAGGAUUAAGGAUUUUCUGCGACAGUGGGUAAAAAUCUAAGCCGUUCAAACAUAUUACGUCCCGCAAAAUCCAAGCCGUUGAUUAAGAUUCUGACCUGCAGGUCAAUUCAGGUGAAUGUGUAAUUUGCGGGUCCCACCACGAAUGGGGCCCUUCCAAAUCCUACCAUCAGCAGACAAUUAUCUGCGAGUGAGCUCAUCACUGGGCCAGUAAACUCACCACACGUAUUAUUACAGAUAAGACUGCAGGUGGGCCCUUUUGGAUAAACGCUUACCGCAGGAUCCGCGAUGCCCGAGAAAUCAAGCAAUCGCCGUCGGAUCCACGUCUUAUUAGUUAGUACUUUUUCUCCAUAAGAAAUGGAAUUCUCUCAGGCAGUGCAUUACACGCGCUCAAAAAGGUUGUGCUCACUUCUUAAUUGAGUGAUCGGGAAAUUAAAGCCAAUUCCCAAUGUCGUCAACAGCGAGAUUCUUGCUUCUCGGUGUUGGCGGAAAAUUAAGAUACUGACAAAUUAAGUAACAUCAAACGCAAAUGACGACAUAUUAUUAUAUGAAUUUAUGUAAUUGUCAUCAUAUUAUAUUAACCACUGUUAAUAUUACGGUAAGCGACGUCGAACGAUCCGGGCUGGCCUCAGUGAGUUAAUAGAUUCUAGUUAAACUCGCUCACUGAGUCAGAUAGUAACAGAUAUAGAGGAGAAAAAAUAGCUUACCGUGAAUGAGAGAGAAAAGGCUACCGUUGGGCUGGUAAUCAUAGAUUAGAAGCCUUUCUUCCCUAGCUUGAAAAUAUGCCCUGAGCGGAACCAAAUUUGGAUGCCUGAGUCCACCCACUGAUUCCAUGUGCCGCUCAAAAACAUCUUUGCUCGUGCCCGCUAAUUUACCAGCAUCGAGCCUCUUCACGCAAACAAUCAGACGGUUAUCUAACACGGCCUUGUAAGUGGUCCCCAUGGUGCCUCUCCCCAGCAACUCAGCCGAAGCUCUCAUCAGCUGAUCCAGCGUGUAAAGCUGUGCCUCACCCGCGCAGAAUACCAAACUCCCACUCUUGCCGACAUGCAUCCCUUGCACCCUCUUCACCUUCUCUUCCAACUCAUUUUCUUGCAGGUCUAUUUGCAUCACUGCCGCAGCUUCUGCAGCGGCGGCGGCGGCUCCAUCAGACGCAAUGACAGCUGUUGAUGGCUUUUGGUUUCUCUGUUUCCUCACAGCCGUCACAAAGCAAAUAAGCGAACCAAUUAAAACUACUACUCCUGAUGAGAAUCCAAUUAUCACUGCGGUUCUCUUGUGCUUGGUUUUGGUGCUUGGUUCAGACAAGUCAACGCCAUGCAAUUCUUCACUUUGGCCUAGUGCAACCGCAGGCGGUGGCGAUACCGGUUGUGAAGACGAUGAUGGGCCGAAAAAUGGGGGACUGGGAUGGCAUUCUUUGUUUAUAAUCUCUCCACAAAGAUUUGGGUUUGAUAAAAAUGAAGAGAGUUCAAAACGAAGUAAUGUGGGGGUAACUGGGAUUGCACCACUGAAGUUGUUAUAUGAAAUAUUGAAUGUCCGGAGAGAUGACUGGUUUAAUGGAGGUAUGGUGCCAUUGAACCUGUUCCAGUCGAGAUGCAGGUAGUACAAGCCGUCCAGAUAGGUUAGCCAGGUGGGUAUUUUUCCAGUUAGAUUGUUGUGGGAGAGAUCAAUAGUACGGAGUCUAUGAAGGGAAUGGAUUGAAGGAGGAAAAGAACCUGUAAAGGAGUUAUGAUCGAGAAAGAGGGAUUUGAGAUUGAGGAGCUUGGACAAAUCCGGAAUGGGUCCGUUUAGCGAGUUGUUCUGGAGACUGAGCACACGAAGCUGGUCAAGGCGAGUCAAAGUGUUGGGGAGGAAAACACCGCCAAGAUCUAGGCCUUGGAGAACUAGGUGCACCACUUUUUGCUGGAAGCAUUUCACUCCUUUCCAUUGACAGAAAUGGAAGCUUGUAUUUUGAGAAUACGGAAGAUUGUCGUUCAAAUCAGCUUUAGAUUUGAAGUCUAGAAGUGCAGAGGCAUCAGAUGGCUGUAGUAAGUUCACUGCUGAAGCAGGAGAGCUAGAAGCCGCUACCAUAGUGAUUAACGACAGUAGAAGAAAACCAUUUGAAAGGAGAAAAUGAAGCAUUUUCACAAAUAGUUGGCGUGGGUGAAAUGGUGAAACUCAAGGAAACGCCUGUCCGUCUCUCUCUUACAGUCUCACUCUGUUUCUGUUGUUCUCUUGUUCAACAGAAUAGGGUUGAUUGGUCCAUUUCAUUCCCCAUAGGCAAGAGCAAGACCCUAGAACUCGAGCGAGGAAAAAAGAAAAAACAAAAGGUGAUAAUGGAGCGACGAGCGAGCGCUUCGUGACAAAGCAUGUAAGAACUGAGAAGCAGCUGUCGGGACUGCAUGGUCAGAAUCACGUGAAGCUAGAGAGGAAAGGAGGGCUAAAACUAUAUAGUUUGAUGUGUAAAAAAUAUAGUAAUUUGAUGAACGGUUACCAUCCUCUUUAAAUUUGGCAGCUGGGGUUGUCUCCCACCAAGCAAAUGAUCACCUCUUUAACAACUAACGAGGCAAAGCCAACAAAUGCCCUCGCUUAACAUUUCGUGUACACAUUCGGUAAAGUUUAGGCUAAUCAAAUUUAAUUGGUUCCUUGAUCAAUGACAGUGCAUGGAACAGGCUAGCCUUGGAGAAUGGGGAUCCUUUUUGCCUUAAGUUGCAAGUUCCGUGUGAUUCACCACGCGCAGAUUGCUUUUACCCUGAAAAUGGUCGGUGGCAUGUGAGUUUAC
rnacentral:misc_RNA from 1 species